AUUGAGCGCUGGCGGAAUGCUUUACACAUGCAAGUCGAACGGCAGCACGGACUUCGGUCUGGUGGCGAGUGGCGAACGGGUGAGUAAUGUAUCGGAACGUGCCCAGUCGUGGGGGAUAACGUAGUGAAAAUUACGCUAAUACCGCAUACGAUCUAUGGAUGAAAGCGGGGGAUCGCAAGACCUCGCGCGAUUGGAGCGGCCGAUAUCAGAUUAGGUAGUUGGUGGGGUAAAGGCCCACCAAGCCAACGAUCUGUAGCUGGUCUGAGAGGACGACCAGCCACACUGGAACUGAGACACGGUCCAGACUCCUACGGGAGGCAGCAGUGGGGAAUUUUGGACAAUGGGCGAAAGCCUGAUCCAGCCAUUCCGCGUGCAGGAUGAAGGCCCUCGGGUUGCAAACUGCUUUUGUACAGAACGAAAAGGUUUCUACUAAUACUAGGAGCUCAUGACGGUACUGUAAGAAUAAGCACCGGCUAACUACGUGCCAGCCGCCGCUGUAA
rnacentral:rRNA from 1 species